UCAAAAACCGUGACAGAGGACCUCAAUUUCUGAUCAACUGCUUUCCAGGGAGAAAAUGCCGCUGACUGAGAGCAUUUUUAACGCAGCCGGAAAUUGGCUUCACCUCUUGAGUUGUCGCCGGGACCGCGUACACUGCGCGUAAAGGUGAACCGGAAUCUGAUUCCGUUAUGUCAAUGAAGCUGACGACAGCAUCAGUCUGUCUGAAAUAAGGGUGGUACCGCGGCCACAACUCGUCCCUUGU
rnacentral:ncRNA from 1 species